GGAUCCAAAACCGCUUUUUGUUUAAAAUGAGGCAAAAUCUAAGGCUCCUCUGGUGGGAGAAAUGCAGCUUCCAACAGGAAACGUUGCGCCUGUAGUACCGCCCCUGCUGCCUAGAGGGCGACAGAAUGCCAGUGAUGUUGGGGAUAAUUUCCACUCAGCUGAUGUUUCAGGGCUGCAGAUGUUUCCUGAUGUUUAUGUAUUAUGACUUGUUAGUGUGAAGUUUGAAUAAAUUCCAUGUUUUAUGUA